GCAGUCGAGAAAUUCUUCCGGCAAUGAGCGAAAGCUGACGGAGGGGACGCCGCGUGGUGAUGAAGUCUCGGGACGUAAAAACUUUUAUGUGGGAGAAAGUCAUUGAUAGUACCACAUGAAUAAGGGGUUGCUAAACUCGUGCCAGCAGCAGCGGUAAUACGAGUGCCCCAAGCGUUAUCCGGGAAUUAUUGGGCGUAAAGGGUGUGUAGGUGGCUCUGUUAGUCUUCUGUUAAAGCUCCCGGCUUAACCGGGAAAGUGCAGAGGAAACGGCAGAACUAGAGGAUGUGAGAGGUUUGCGGAACUCAUGGUGUAGGGGUGAAAUCCGUUGAUAUCAUGGGGAACACCAAAAGCGAAGGCAGCAAACUGGCGCAUUCCUGACACUGAAACACGAAAGCGUGGGGAGUGAAGAGGAUUAGAUACCCUCGUAAUCCACGCCCUAAACGAUCUUCUCUGGCUAUUUGGAGUAUCGACCCUCUAAGUGGCGAAGCUAACGCGUUAAGAGAAGCGCCUGGGUAGUACGACCGCAAGGUUAAAACUCAAAGGAAUAGACGGGGACUUGCACAAGCAGUGGAUUAUGUGACUUAAUUCGAUGAUAAACGAAGAACCUUACCAGGGUUUGAAACCUAUUUGAAAGCCUUAGGAAACUUUGGCCCUCGCAAGACAAAUAGGCAGGUGAUGCAUGGCCGUCGUCAGUUCGUGGUUUGAAUUGUUCCCUUAAGUGGGGUAACGAACGCAACCCUCGUUGGCUGUUACAAGUGUCAGCCGAGACUGCCCACG
rnacentral:rRNA from 1 species